rnacentral:lncRNA from 1 species
UAUAUAUAUGCUACUAUACUAUCAAUAGUACUAGUCCUUUGGUACUAUUGAGUUUUCGGCCGUUGGAUGAAAAGAUGUGCGGUUAGGAUGAUAGUGGUCCCGGGUUAAAUUGAUAGUAGUCUCCUAGGGUUGAGUGGGUCGUUGGUUUAAUAGUAUAAUCUAACAGGUGGAAAUGAUUAAAGGGUAGAUCUAUGUUGUGUUCCUGAGGUUUGGAUAGGAUUGGCUUCAGUAUUAGUGAUUAGUCGACACAUCUGGAGAGUGUCGGACUAAAUCGGAGUUGUUUCUGCACGAAAUGAAUGCAGAAAUGGACUCGGUGCACUCAAAGG